AGGGUGAACGCUGGCGGCGUGCUUAAGACAUGCAAGUCGAACGAGUGGCGAAUGGGUGCGUAACACGUAGGGACCUACCCUGAGUGUGGAAUAACAGUCCGAAAGGACUGCUAAUACCGCAUGGGAGGGGCCUGCGGCCCAUCAGCUAGUUGGUGAGGUAAUGGCUCACCAAGGCUACGACGGGUCGGGGACCUGAGAGGGUGGCCCCCCACACUGGCACUGAAACACGGGCCAGACUCCUACGGGAGGCAGCAGUCGGGAAUAUUGGUCAAUGGACGAAAGUCUGAACCAGCAACGCCGCGUGAGUGAUGAAGGCCUUCGGGUCGUAAAGCUCUUUUUAGGGGGAGGACAGUACUCCUAGAAUAAGUCACGGCUAACUACGUGCCAGCAGCCGCGGUAAAACGUAGGUGACGAGCGUUAUCCGGAUUUACUGGGCGUAAAGCGUGUGUAGGCGGUUCAACAAGUCGGGCAUUAAAUCUUUCGGCCUAACCGAGAGACGCUGUCCGAUACUGUUGGGCUUGAAGUAGGCAGAGGACGGUGGAAUUCCGCGUGUAGUGGUGAAAUGCGUAGAUAUGCGGAGGAACACCAGUGGCGAAGGCGGCCGUCUGGGCCUUACUUGACGCUGAGACACGAAAGCUAGGGUAGCGAACGGGAUUAGAGACCCCGGUAGUCCUAGCCGUAAACGAUGUUGACUGGGUGUCAGUGCCGGAGCAAACGCGAUAAGUCAACCG
rnacentral:rRNA from 1 species